GAUGAACGCUGGCGGCGUGCCUAAUACAUGCAAGUCGAGCGAACGGACGAGAAGCUUGCUUCUCUGAUGUUAGCGGCGGACGGGUGAGUAACACGUGGAUAACCUACCUAUAAGACUGGGAUAACUUCGGGAAACCGGAGCUAAUACCGGAUGAUAUUUUGAACCGCAUGGUUCAAAAGUGAAAGACGGUCUUGCUGUCACUUAUAGAUGGAUCCGCGCUGCAUUAGCUAGUUGGUAAGGUAACGGCUUACCAAGGCAACGAUGCAUAGCCGACCUGAGAGGGUGAUCGGCCACACUGGAACUGAGACACGGUCCAGACUCCUACGGGAGGCAGCCGUAGGGAAUCUUCCGCAAUGGGCGAAAGCCUGGCGGAGCAACGCCGCGUGAGUGAUGAAGGUCUUCCGAUCGUAAAACUCUGUUAUUAGGGAAGAACAUAUGUGUAAGUAACUGUGCACAUCUUGACGGUACCUAAUCAGAAAGCCACGGCUAACUACGUG
rnacentral:rRNA from 1 species